AUUAACAUAAUAUUCAGGAAAUAUUGAGAAGAACAAUGUCAUUAGCAAAAAUCAACAUGGUUUUAUGAAACAGUUCAUGCAAAACUAACUUAAUUGCAUUCUACGAAGAAGUGGAUGUGCUCUACUUGGAUUUUGCCAAGGCAUUCAAUAUGGUUCCACACAAUAGGUUAAUGUUCAAACUAAAAGAAAUUGGUCUAGAUGGAAAUUCUUGUUGAUGGCUAGAGCAUUAGCUUAAAGACAGAGUAUAUUUUCAAGCUGGACAAAAGUAACAAGUGGUGUCCCUCAGUGCGUCUAUUUAACCUAUUU